UCCCUACGGGGGGCAGCAGCUAAGAAUAUUGGGCAAUGGAGGAAACUCUGACCCAGCCAUGCCGCGUGAAUGAAGAAGGCCUUCGGGUUGUAAAGUUCUUUUAGUCGUGGAGAUGAUGACAGUAGCGACAGAAUAAGCACCGGCUAACUACGUGCCAGCAGCCGCGGUAAUACGUAGGGUGCAAGCGUUAUCCGGAUUUAUUGGGCGUAAAGGGCUCGUAGGCGGUUCGUCGCGUCCGGUGUGAAAGUCCAUCGCUUAACGGUGGAUCCGCGCCGGG
rnacentral:rRNA from 1 species